rnacentral:rRNA from 1 species
AACGAACGCUGGCGGCAGGCCUAACACAUGCAAGUCGAGCGAAGCCUUCGGGCUUAGCGGCGGACGGGUGAGUAACGCGUGGGAACGUGCCCUUUGGUACGGAAUAGCCACGGGAAACUGGAAGUAAUACCGUAUGUGUUCGAGAGACGAAAGAUUUAUCGCCAAAGGAUCGGCCCGCGUUGGAUUGGGUAGUUGGUGGGGGAAUGGCCUACCAAGACGAAGAUCCAUAACUGGUUUGGGAGGAGGAUCAGCCACACUGGGGCUGAGACACGGCCCAAACUCCUACGGGAGGCAGCAGGGGGGAAUCUUAGACAAUGGGGGAAACCCUGAUCUAGCCAUGCCGCGUGAUCGAUGAAGGCCUUAGGGUUGUAAAGAUCUUUCAGUGGGGAAGAUAAUGACUGUACCCACAGAAGAAGCCCCGGCUAACUCCGUGCCAGCAGCCGCCGUAAGAC